rnacentral:rRNA from 1 species
GACGAACGCUGGCGGCGUGCCUAAUACAUGCAAGUCGAACGCAGUGGGGACGGGUGAGUAACACGUGGUUAACCUCCCAUCAGAGGGGAUAACACUUGGAAACAGGUGCUAAACCGAUAAUGCUGGCUGGCCCCGCGGUUCAUUAGCUAGUUGGUGAGGUAACGGCCCAACAAGGCCAAGAUUCAUAGCCGAACGGAGAGGGUGAUCUGCCAAACCGGGAAUGAGACACGGCCCAGACUCCUACGGGAGGCAGCAGUAGGGAAUCUUUGGCAAUGGACGAAAGUCUGACCGAGCAACGCCGCGUGAGUGAAGAAGGUUUUCGGAUCGUAAAACUCUGUUGUUAGAGAAGCGGUAUCUAACCAGAAAGCCACGGCUAACUACGUGCCAGCAGCCGCGGUAAUUC